rnacentral:rRNA from 1 species
GACGUAGGGCGCAAGCGUUGUCCGGAUUUAUUGGGCGUAAAGAGCUCGUAGGCGGCUUGUUGCGUCGUCCGUGAAAACCCGCAGCUCAACUGCGGGCUUGCGGACGAUACGGGCAGGCUGGAGUUCGGUAGGGGAGACUGGAAUUCCUGGUGUAGCGGUGAAAUGCGCAGAUAUCAGGAGGAACACCGGUGGCGAAGGCGGUCUGCUGGGGUCGAACUGACGCUGAGGCGCGACAGCGUGGGGAGCAAACAGG